CGAUGAGAAUCGAUUCGAGAUAGGUAACGAGGGAACGUCUUUAAAGGCCUUCGAGGGGGCGGCAGUUCAAUUAAGAGACGGCUUCCUGCGAAGAGUUUUCAAGGGCGCGCACGGCGAUCAAAGAAAAGCAGGCCGCGUAAAAUUCCUCGAGAAAACUUUUCAACGGCGAACUCUUUCCUCAUUUCGCGCGCACUUGAAUUAUUCACAAGCUUCUUCUUCCCGCCUUUGUUUCUGGGCCAGGGUCGUCGUCGUCGUCGUCGUCGUCGCAACGAUCCCCGGUCGACGAACUUUCUCUCUUAAGAAACCUUGUAUCAAUUAUAAGUAUGUUAAACGAUUUCAAGAUUGCAUUCAGAGACACUGAAUGAUAUCAGAUCAUAUAAGAUACAUACUAUAUGGAUUAUUAAUUUAUAUAAAAAUUGACGUACCUCGGUAUGCAUUAUCUUUUUCUAGACGAUGGUAGAAGCUAAUAAAUUCAACUUAUCUAUACAAUCUCACACUUGAGUAGAAUAAUUUCACAGUACAAGUGAUUUUUUUUAUAAAGUAAUUCUUUUAUAAAUCAUGUAGCUUCAUAUAACU
rnacentral:misc_RNA from 1 species